rnacentral:rRNA from 1 species
CAGGGAUUGCCUCAGUAACGGCGAGUGAAGCGGCAAAAGCUCAAAUUUGAAAUCCGACUCCUUCGGGGUCCGAGUUGUAAUUUGUAGAGGAUGUUUCGGGUGCGGCGCCGGUCUAAGUCCCUUGGAACAGGGCGUCAUAGAGGGUGAGAAUCCCGUAUGUGACCGGUGACCAACCCCAUGUGAAACUCCUUCGACGAGUCGAGUUGUUUGGGAAUGCAGCUCAAAAUGGGUGGUAAAUUUCAUCUAAAGCUAAAUACUGGCCAGAGACCGAUAGCGCACAAGUAGAGUGAUCGAAAGAUGAAAAGCACUUUGGAAAGAGAGUCAAAAAGUACGUGAAAUUGUUGAAAGGGAAGCGCUUGCAACCAGACCUGUCCGUAGGCGAUCAACCUCUGUUCUCAGGGGUGCACUCGUCUGCGAUCAGGCCAGCAUCGGUUCGGGCGGCCGGAUAAAGGCCUUGGGAAUGUGGCUCCUCUCCGGGAGUGUUAUAGCCCUCGGUGCAAUGCGGCCAGCCCGGACCGAGGACCGCGCUUCGGCUAGGAUGCUGGCGUAAUGGUUGUAAGCGACCCGUCUUGAAACACGGACCAAGGAGUAUAAUAUUUAUGCAAGUGUUUGGGUGUCAAACCCAUGCGCGUAAUGAAAGUGAACGGAGGUGAGAACCCUGAAGGGCGCAUCAUCGACCGAUCCAGAUGUCUUCGGAUGGAUUUGAGUAUGAGCAUAAAUGUUCUGACCCGAAAGAUGGUGAACUAUGCCUGAAUAGGGUGAAGCCAGAGGAAACUCUGGUGGAGGCUCGCAGCGGUUCUGACGUGCAAAUCGAUCGUCAAAUUUUGGCAUAGGGGCGAAAGACUAAUCGAACCAUCUAGUAGCUGGUUCCUGCCG